UAGCGACAGGGAAACUUUCCGGGCUGUCAGUCAGGGCUCAGCUGACUGUCAGCGCCCGCUUAACCCCCUCCUGGCCGCCGGGGCCGCGCCCGGGCACGGCACGGCUCUGCACGGGACGGGGCACCCGCCGGGCCGCUCCUCCCGCGCCGCACCGGGCGAGCGCCCUGCCCCGGGGCGGGGUGCCCGGGAGCUGCCCCCGCCCGCCCGCACGGGCACCCGAGGGCGCGGGGGAGCUCCGGACGGCCGGGAGGAGAGAGGGGGAGCGCCGGGCGCGGAGCCCCGAGGGGAGCCCGGCAGCGCCCGGCGGGGAGAGGGCUGCGCGGGGCUCCGCCGUGCCCGGUGCCGGUACCUGCGAGCGGGCGGGCGGGCGGCCCUUCCCCCGUGCCGGCCGCGGGCCAUCGCUUCCGCUCCCCCGCAGCGCCCCGCUCACUUAUUGAUUAUUUCGGUACGGGGACGGGGCAUCGAUCCCUCCAUCCCCCUCCCCAGCCCGCCCCGGAGGUGCGAGAGCCCCGCAAGUUUGCAAGCCCCGCGCCAACACCCCUUCCCCCCCCCCACCUCUCCCGGCGCCGCACUACCCUGGCCGGCCCGCACUAAUUAAUUUAAUACAUUUAGAACUAAUCGUAUUUACUUUCGUCUCCCCAUCACCUCCUACCCCCACCCCCUCCUGUCGCCCCGCUUUCCCCUCCGGGAGGGGGCUGUGGCCGGGCCGGGGGCCGUGGAGCGGCAGCGGCUGGAGAGGAGCGGAGCGGCUUCGGUUCGAACCUCGACAGCGCCAUCUCUCGUCCACAGUAUUUUCCGAUGGACUUGUCUCACUGGUGCUGUGCCACUGCAGCCUUUGCUCUGGUGGAGCUCCUGCUGACCCGCUGCACGCCAUGAAUGGAUGCUGCUCUACGCUCACUCUCUCAUACAUUUCCCUUUUUCACCUAAUCCUGUUUUUAUGCUUGGUUUUACAUCCAAAUAAUCAAUAUAAUUUAGGCCCAUUCUGCAGUACUAACGCAACCUUGCUUAUUCAGAGAAAACCCAAACCCUAUUGACUUCAAAAACGGUGGGAUUGAAUCCUUGAUCCCAUUGAAACCAAUGACAAAACCUGUAUUGAUUUCAGGGGAAGCAGGAUCAGGUCCUUGAUGUUAGCAAUUUGUUUAUGUCAGAGGGCUGAUCCUACAAGAAAUAAAAGAAAGCAUUUGAUCUGCUGGCAGGAAAUCAGGUCUGCUCCCCAAAAUUCAAAGGCAAAAUUCCCAGUUAACUUGUGGUGGAUCUCCUGUACACUCAGGGUUUAUCAUCGUGGUGUGGCGUGGUAGGAUGCCUGUGUAAUUUCGUCUGGACCAGCAUAAAGCUGGUCCUCCUGGGAGCAUUCAAAUGAGCACAUCUAUAAAUGUAGCACAGCAAAAUGAGCUACUUUUGCCACUCUCGCUUUUCCCGAGCCCGGUACAAUCCAUUUCUGUGACGACAGUUUUCUGCCCCAUACGCAUCCAAUACUGCUCUUUUAUUUUAAGGCUGAGAAAAUCUUCCCUUUAAACUCACGCUGAGCAUCAAAUUGGACUUCACUUGCAGCUGAACAUCUUGGCUGUUUCUUCCUUUCCUCCAUCAGCUCCAGUAUAUUUUAUGUAGAAUUCUCUCUGUUAAUGAAACUUGCUUUUCCUCUCUCUUCACUUUCCAGUUUUGUAUUAGUGUUACUGAAUCCACCAGACUUGCCGCAUUUCAAAACUGUGCAAAAGGGGGAGAAAAAGAAUUGUUUUAUUUUCCUAUACAGUCUCCUAUUUGGCCAUUCUGCACAGACCUUAAAUAUACAACCUAUUUUCAUUUGUCUGUACAGUUUCUAUUGCUAUGCUAGAAAAAAAGUAGCUUGAAAAGUCAGGCUUAAACACACAUCUUGGUUGCUUUUGUUAUGUAUCCAAGAGGGCUUGUGUUUUAGCUCUAGAAAUUGUGAGGUUUUAGCAGCUGCUUCGAUUUUAUUCCCCUGGAGGUGCCUGACAGUGACUAUGUGGAAGACGCAGCAUCGGUGCUACACCUGAGUGCGUGAGUUUGCUCUGUCUACCCUGAGUCCUAACGAAGUGACGGCUUUUUAGCAGUCAGAAUAUUUUCGUUGCUUGCUUAUAACGUUCAUAAAGUGCUAGAAAUAGUCCAAAUAACUUUGUAUGAUCCAGAAGCAGUUUCUCCACCUGGAGGGAAGACAGCACAGAGGUGCAACUGAAAAGCUGCAAGUGACUCUUAGGACGUGGCUAAAGGUUGGUGUCACCAGAUUUGCACUGUGCUUGUUUCAUGAUGCAUGUCCUAGUUUACUAAUUUUCACGAACAGCUUUUGCCUAAAUGUAAAAAUCAAUGAAGACAUUUUCGAUGCUAAGAAACCUAUUUAUUUAAAAGAAAUAAAAACUGAAAUAGCAAUAAAGAUUUUUAUCAAGCUU